ACUGGACGUUCACAGUUUAUUUAAUUAAUGCAGCUGUUAUUUAGACAGGCUUCCAUAUUGAUGAAUCCCAAAGCAAGAGCUGACACACCCGGAAUCCAACGUACACCGAGGUGAGACGACAACUAGUUCAACGGGACAACAGUUAGACCAAAAGACCUGAAAAAAAUGCACGAGAAAUGACAAUCACAGGAAAAGAUGGCGGCCACAGGUGGCGAUGAGAGCGAGACAUCGCGGCACAUCUCGGGUGGAUGAAGAUAAAGCACAGGGAACAGGCGGGCGUGUGCCGUGGGAGGACAGGAGCGACGUGGUGCCAAAGUGCCAACUGAAGGGGCUUUAAAUCCAGCCGCUGUCUAUUGUUCAUGGAGGUCGAGUGAUGCAGGCCCACACGUGACGCCCCCGCGCUGCCGCGCGUGACCUUGUUCCGGAUACAUGAUGAUCAUAAUUAACGUUGUGAUGAAGCCAGAUGCCUUCAUCGAUCAUCUGGACACGCCACUCGUGCUGCUUGUGCUGAAACCCGGCGGACGCUCUUCCUUCACUGUAAUAACACGAGUGUGUAAACCAAGUAUAAAAACUAAACCAACACUACACACAAGCAAUGGUGGUUGUGUGAAGACGCGCCUUUAUGUGCGUCCAUCCUGCCAACCACGUCCAGCAGGUUGCUGGAGGAGCGCCAUGUCUGUUGUUUCGGCCCCUCUUUGGAGGCUCGGCGGGGUCUUUCCCACCGGCUCAGGGUCCUGAGAAGAAACGUGUUCUCGUCCUUCUUCACCGUCAUUCAAUCACGUCACAGAGGGACAAACGCACACGGGACGCUUUCAAUGACAAUUUUACUGUUAAAAUAGAGAUCAGAAGAGAAGAGAUCAACUUCAGAGAGGUCAGCAGAACCUCUGUGGAAGACGUGAAUAUGCUGGAUGGGGAAGAUGAUUAAGAGCAUAAUGACCAAGGGCCAAUUUUAAAAAAUGCUGCAGCGGUUUGCUUCCCUUUGGAACUUCAAAGCGGGAAAAGAGACAAAACGGAGGGAACAGAAAUAGAGGGGAACAAUCUUUGCUGCUGGAAAAAAAAAAGCGAAAUGUACUUCAAGCACCUUGAAGUCUGAGUAAUAUGAGUUGUUGUCACAGAGAACGAUGAGAGCGAGGAAAGACGUGAGAUCUGGACCUUGGGCUUUGAUCUUUAGUAAGGCACUACUUGUAAUACUUAAACAUCAAAGCUACAAAGUGAGAGGAUCUUUCAAUCUGAGCCGCCGCUGCACAAAACAGCCGGCUGAGUGACUCCCACACAUUUCCAAAUUGGAAAAUGGGAAAUGCUUUGUAGUUUGUUUGGUGACAACAGACGCUUUCAGGACCAGCGGUGUUCAUUAGUGGAGCGGACCGAAAGCUCUCGAUGCUCAAAAAUCCACUUUGAGGAGUGGCAGGUUAUGGGAGAUUUAUUUGUUCAAUAUAUUUCGAGAUCUCAGUGAGAUUUUAGUCAUUUUAUUGAAAGUUUGACGACACCAUCAAUCAGUCCUCAACAGAAAAAGUUCAUACGUCUUCCUGACAAGGACGUUGUGCUUAAAUCAUCACUAAGCAUCCACCUGUUGGGUCAUUUCCUUUUACCUGUGCUCGAAAAAAGGAGAAAAUAAGACCACAUUUUGAAAAAAAAAACUAUUAUUGCAAAUAUUUGCUUGGAUUAAAAGAACUAAAUUUGAAGUGCAAUGGAAUUGCAGAGAAAGGUUGUGGAGUUAACAGCACUCAAAUGAGUUCUGAACCUCUUGAAACUUUUCUUUUCAUUACAUCAUCUCGCUUUGUCCUUUUCUUAUGCAAUGAUUAGUCGCCGGAGAUCCACACGGAUCCUUCACCAAAAAUCGACAUUAGCUUCUUCUCCC
ensembl:lncRNA